AAAAAACAAAGGGCUAUAGAAAGGAUCGCACAGAUCUGAAAGAGGAACAAACUCACUAAAUGAAGGCCAACUUCAUCUUAUACUGAGUACCCUACCGAGGAUUGAAUUAAUCAUUAGACGACCCAAGAUAAGCAACAAUACUGCGGAAAAAGGCUUCAUAGAUAAGGGAGGAUUGAACCGUAAAGUCAACCAAAACGAUCCAAAGAUAAAGAAGAAAAUUCACAAAAUUAAAGCUACGAGUGCAGUUUGCCAAUUAAGCAAGCAGACAUAUGGCAGAAGCAGUCAUUUUAUCGUUGAUGCAAAAGCUUAACAAAUAUCAAGAGGAAAGAACAGAUGAGGUCGGCCAACAUAUAAUUGGAAAAAUGGAAAGGGUAAUUAAAGAGAUGAGAGAGAUUGUGGAUAUAGUUAGAGAUAAGAAAUUUGGAGACGGAAGAAGACUCAACUUUGUAGUAUCCGAUCUGGACCACAUGGCCCACGAUGCCCUCUACCUCUACAAAAAGGGCAAAGUUUAUAUGAUGAGUUUUAUCAUAAGUUGGAUUGGAGAGAUCAAAAUGCGGAUGCUUAAACUGGGAGCUGAUGGGGCGGAGACAGAAAAUGUUGAUGAAGAUCAUGUGGUGGUAGGCUUGGACAAACACAUUGA